rnacentral:rRNA from 1 species
UACGUAGGGUGCAAGCGUUUGUCCGGAAUUAUUGGGCGUAAAGAGCUCGUAGGCGGUCUGUCGCGUCUGCUGUGAAAACUCGGGGCUUAACCCCGGGCCUGCAGUGGGUACGGGCAGACUAGAGUGCGGUAGGGGAGACUGGAAUUCCUGGUGUAGCGGUGAGAUGCGCAGAUAUCAGGAAGAACACCAACGGCGAAGGCAGCUCCGCUGGGACGGUACUGACGCUGAGACGCGAAAGCGUGGGGAGCGAACAGG